GCUUGUGGUCUACCAAAGGGAAGCAGGCCAUUUCUGGGACCCCCAGAACUUCAAAUCAGUGACCUUGGGCACCCAGGGGAGCCCCAUCACCAAGAUGGUGUCUGUGGGUGGGCGGCUGUGGUGUGGCUGCCAGAACCGAGUCCUUGUCCUGAGCCCUGACACGCUGCAGCUGGAGGUAGCAGGGGGUGGGGGAAUGGAAUUGGUGCCAUGGGAUGAGCUAGGUCCGUGUGACAGGGAGAUGGAGACCAUGGUAGGGGCAUAAGCAGCAUCCAGCAGAGGGCUAGGGCCUUCCUCUGACCACAGAGUGACGCUGGCCAGUCCCUGUCCUCCUUCGAUCCUCAUUUCUUCUGUAGCUGAUGAGGAAUACAGUAAGUGUCCCAUAUACAUUAGGAAUCUUAUUCAUCCUCCUGCCCACCCUAUCUCUCAACUCAGGUUUUAGGGUCCUUUGGGGAUAGGACAAGAGUCCUUUCUGAUGUCAACAUCCAUUAGCAUUAGACUCUGGCAUUUAUUGCUGCACAUGUCACUUGCACACAUGUCAGAAGUAUCCAGGGGCAACGGGUUCCCUUAAUUUCCCUCACUUAUUCCAUUGUUGGCUGGGCAGGAGUCCAAAGCCCUGGGUUCAGGCCCCAGCUCUGUGACUGACUUGCUGUGUGACCUUUCCCUUCUAGGCUUCAGCUUCCCCACCUGUCCAGGGGGA
rnacentral:sRNA from 1 species